GCCCAGAUGGGAUUAGCUAGUAGGUGGGGUAACGGCUCACCUAGGCGACGAUCCCUAGCUGGUCUGAGAGGAUGACCAGCCACACUGGAACUGAGACACGGUCCAGACUCCUACGGGAGGCAGCAGUGGGGAAUAUUGCACAAUGGGCGCAAGCCUGAUGCAGCCAUGCCGCGUGUAUGAAGAAGGCCUUCGGGUUGUAAAGUACUUUCAGCGGGGAGGAAGGGAGUAAAGUUAAUACCUUUGCUCAUUGACGUUACCCGCAGAAGAAGCACCGGCUAACUCCGUGCCAGCAGCCGCGGUAAUACGGAGGGUGCAAGCGUUAAUCGGAAUUACUGGGCGUAAAGCGCACGCAGGCGGUUUGUUAAGUCAGAUGUGAAAUCCCCGGGCUCAACCUGGGAACUGCAUCUGAUACUGG
rnacentral:rRNA from 1 species